GACGAACGCUGGCGGCGUGCUUAACACAUGCAAGUGGUGCGACGAACCAGGCUUCGGCCUGGGGCGAAGCCGCGAACGGGUGAGUAACACGUGGGCAAUCUGCCCCUUGAUCGGGACAACCCGGGGAAACCCGGGCUAAUACCGAAUGAGGUGGCGACUCAUGAGAGUCGUCACGAAAGGAAGCUUCGGCCUCCGCGAAGGGAUGAGCACGCGGCCCAUUAGCUUGUUGGUGGGGUAAUGGCCCACCAAGGCGACGACGGGUAGCUGGUCUGAGAGGAUGAUCAGCCACACUGGGAUUGAGACACGGCCCAGACUCCUACGGGAGGCAGCAGUGGGGAAUCUUGCGCAAUGCGCGAAAGCGUGACGCAGCAACGCCGCGUGGGGGAAGAAGGCCUUCGGGUUGUAAACCUCUUUCAGUUGGGACGAAGGUUCGGCGGUGAAUAGCCGUCCGGACUGACGGUACCUUCAGAAGAAGCCCCGGCUAACUACGUGCCAGCCGCCGCGGUAA
rnacentral:rRNA from 1 species